rnacentral:lncRNA from 1 species
CAUGGUCUGUGGGUCGGAUGUCUGGCGGUCACACCCGCCGGGAAGAUCUUCUGGCGGAAACAGAAUCUGCUCCUUUCGGGAAAGGCUGAUUGCGCGGUUACGUGCAGCGUGUGUUGAGGAGUGGCUCUGGAAACUUAAAGAGCCCGACGAUCAAGUGAUCUUGCCAACUACCGUUUUAAUCAGCAUGUUUUAUUUUGUUGUGGUACAGGCUCAGGCAUGCUAUUUCAAGCUUGUCAUCAUAUUCAUGGAGGCAGAGACAGGAGAAUUGCUAUUAGGUCCAUGCCAGCCUGGCCUACACAAGCCCAAUGCAAGCCCUGGCAGAUGUCUUCAACACCAGAGUGACACUCAGCCUGAAGGCCAGGAUUGAAGACUGGAAGUACAGGGGCAAGAAAUACCUUUGAAAAUACUCCAGUGUCCAAACUGCUCACUGGUGUUGCUGCCUUUUGAGCCAGGGCACGAGGCUUUGUUGAGGUCACUACUUUUCAUUCCCUCCAAGAUGGACAAGAUGUUUGUUUUGUGCACAGUAAGUGGAACACAGGGCCUCCGGCAUGGUGCUUGUAUGUUCCCUUCAGAAACUAAGGUUUGUAUUGGGAUUAGGACGCAUGCAUGUGCUUUUCAUGAAUUUUUUUCUGUCUAAUCCCUGACAGCUAAUCUGAGUAUCCCCUACCAAUUCUGAGGUGAGCCAUAACUCAGAACUAAGGGACUGAAGGCUGCUAUCAUAGACCAUGAGCAGCCGCUCCAACCACAGCCCUGGCACAGACCACCCAUAAGAGCAUUUCCACCUCCUAGGAAGAUAAAUUCAUAUUUAUAUUGU